GAUGAACGCUAGCGGCAGGCCUAACACAUGCAAGUCGAGGGGCAGCAUUUCCAGCUUGCUGGAAGAUGGCGACCGGCGCACGGGUGCGCAACGCGUAUAGAAUCUGCCUUGCACUGGGGA
rnacentral:rRNA from 1 species